UUUAAAUAUCUUAUAUAUAAAAUUAUCGUGUCACAAUGUUCGUUCCCAUACUCCUCCGAGACGGCUUGAUCGAUUCUCAUGAAAUUUUAUAUGCAUAUUCAGUAGGUCUGAGAAUCGGCUACUAUCUAAGUUUGUAUGCUCUGCGAUAAGUGGUUCCGGAGUUAUGGCCUCUUAAGUCAAAGUAUACUAGCACGCACGAUAUUCAACAAUUAUUAUUUUGCCAUGGAGAGAUA